CCAAGAGUUUGAUCAUGGCUCAGAUUGAACGCUGGCGGCAGGCCUAACACAUGCAAGUCGAGCGGAUGAAGGGAGCUUGCUCCUGGAUUCAGCGGCGGACGGGUGAGUAAUGCCUAGGAAUCUGCCUGGUAGUGGGGGAUAACGUCCGGAAACGGGCGCUAAUACCGCAUACGUCCUGAGGGAGAAAGUGGGGGAUCUUCGGACCUCACGCUAUCAGAUGAGCCUAGGUCGGAUUAGCUAGUUGGUGGGGUAAAGGCCUACCAAGGCGACGAUCCGUAACUGGUCUGAGAGGAUGAUCAGUCACACUGGAACUGAGACACGGUCCAGACUCCUACGGGAGGCAGCAGUGGGGAAUAUUGGACAAUGGGCGAAAGCCUGAUCCAGCCAUGCCGCGUGUGUGAAGAAGGUCUUCGGAUUGUAAAGCACUUUAAGUUGGGAGGAAGGGCAGUAAGUUAAUACCUUGCUGUUUUGACGUUACCAACAGAAUAAGCACCGGCUAACUUCGUGCCAGCAGCCGCGGUAAUACGAAGGGUGCAAGCGUUAAUCGGAAUUACUGGGCGUAAAGCGCGCGUAGGUGGUUCAGCAAGUUGGAUGUGAAAUCCCCGGGCUCAACCUGGGAACUGCAUCCAAAACUACUGAGCUAGAGUACGGUAGAGGGUGGUGGAAUUUCCUGUGUAGCGGUGAAAUGCGUAGAUAUAGGAAGGAACACCAGUGGCGAAGGCGACCACCUGGACUGAUACUGACACUGAGGUGCGAAAGCGUGGGGAGCAAACAGGAUUAGAUACCCUGGUAGUCCACGCCGUAAACGUUGUCGACUAGCCGUUGGGAUCCUUGAGAUCUUAGUGGCGCAGCUAACGCGAUAAGUCGACCGCUCUGGGAAUUUUCGACAACU
rnacentral:rRNA from 1 species